rnacentral:rRNA from 1 species
GACAGGGGGCUCGAGCGUUAAUCGGAAUCACUGGGCUUAAAGGGUGCGCAGGCGGUCCCGCAAGUGCUUUGUGAAAUCCCACGGCUCAACCGUGGAACAGCAGGGCAGACUGCGGGACUCGAGGCAGGUAGGGGCGGACAGAACUGUAGGUGGAGCGGUGAAAUGCGUAGAUAUCUACAGGAAUGCCGAUGGGGAAGCCGGUCCGCUGGGCCUGUCCUGACGCUCAGGCACGAAAGCGUGGGGAUCAAACAGG